rnacentral:tRNA from 1 species
UGCUGAUCGGCCAGGUCCUGGCCCAGCGGGCGAUCGCCCCGCUGGGCGAGACCCUCGACCGGCAGCGCCGGUUCACCGCCGACGUCAGCCA